rfam:Aedes albopictus isolate Foshan contig42283, whole genome shotgun sequence.
UAGCCUAGUGGUUAAGGCCAUGGAUCGCCAAUCCGGAGACGACGGGUUCGAUUCCCGU